rnacentral:rRNA from 1 species
AUUUAACGCUGGCGGCACGCUUUACACAUGCAAGUCGAACGGUAACAGGGUGCUUGCACCGCUGACGAGUGGCGAACGGGUGAGUAAUGCGCCGGAACGUGCCGAGUAGUGGGGGAUGACGCAGCGAAAGUUGUGCUAAUACCGCAUACGUACUGAGUUAGAAGGUGGGGGACCUUCGGGCCUCACGCUAUCCGACAGGCUGACGUCUGAUUAGCUAGUAGGAGAGGUAAAGGCACAACUAGGCGACGAUCAGUAGCGGGUCUGAGAGGAUGAUCCGCCACACUGGUACUGAGACACGGCCCAGACUCCUACGGUAAGCAGCAGUGGGGAAUUUUGGACAAUGGGGGAAAGCCUGAUCCAGCCAUACCGGGUGUCUGAAGAAGGCCUUCGGGUUCUAAAGGACUUUUGUCAGAGCGGAAAUCCCUAGUGCUAAUAACACUGGGGGAUGACAGUACCUGAAGAAUAAGCACCGGCUAACUACGUGCCAGCAGCCGCCGUAA